CAGAGAGUAGUUCAAUGGAGAAUGCCAGCUUUGGGAGUUGGGGUGGAGGUUUAAGUCCUCUCUCUCUGA
rnacentral:tRNA from 1 species